GAAACUGUUCUUCCUCCUUCCUCUUUUCUCUUUUUCUUCUUUCUUUGCUUCGCUUAGCUUCGAUCUGGUUCAGUCUUCUUCACUUAAUACUUCUCAUAAGUAUUAAGAACAAGAAAUCACUUUGCCACUGUUUCUCCUUCGUGGUGAUGAUGAUUUCUCGUCUGUCAUGUUUCGACCUUCAUCUCCGUGAUUAUCCCUUCUUGCCUCUAAUCUGUUUGCGUUCCCCUUCAAUGACCAAUGCUUGUUUCUCUUUCUCAUGAGUCAGAUCACAACAAAGCGUCAACACCGCUACAAGAAAAUGAUUUUAUUAUGACCAAAUAUUUACUCAUAAUAAUAAAUGUUUUGUCACAAUAAAAGUAUUGAUACGCAUCCGUGACGUUUUGCAAACAGUUGCAAUACACUCGUCACA